UUUGUUUGCGCAGGAUAGGUGGGAGGCGCUGAAAAUUUUCUUGCGGGAAGAUUGGAGCCGUUGGUGAGAUACCACUCUAACAAUGCUAGGAUUCUAACCCUACACCGUUAUCCGGUUAGGGGACAGUUUCAGGUGGUCAGUUUGACUGGGGCGGUCGCCUCCCAAAAGGUAACGGAGGCGUGCAAAGGUUUCCUCAGGCUGGUCGGAAAUCAGUCGUAGAGUGUAAAGGCAUAAGGAAGCUUGAUUGUGAGACCUACAAGUCGAACAAAGACGAAAGUCGGCCUUAGUGAUCCGACGGUUCCGAGUGGAAGGGCCGUCGCUCAACGGAUAAAAGUUACUCUAGGGAUAACAGGCUGAA
rnacentral:rRNA from 1 species